rnacentral:rRNA from 1 species
GUGUGCCUACGGGGGGCAGCAGUAGGGAAUCUCUCACAAUGGGCGAAAGCCUGAUGGAGCAACGCCGCGUGGGUGAAGAAGGUCUUCGGAUCGGAAAACCCUGUUGUUAGAGAAGAAAGUGCGUGAGAGUAACUGUUAACGUUUCGACGGUAUCUAACCAGAAAGCCACGGCUAACUACGUGCCAGCAGCCGCGGUAAUACGUAGGUGGCAAGCGUUAUCCGGAUUUAUUGGGCGUAAAG